rnacentral:lncRNA from 1 species
UUCACUAGGAGUGUUAGAACUAGGUGUUUGUUAAGUAUGUUGAGCUAAGUGUUUACCAGUCGUAAUUUGUGGACCUUGGCAGUGGUGGACUUUGUGUCAAUUCCUUACGUCAAUCCUUAGGAAUAAAUGGAUAAAGGAUAGUUGAUUCUUAGGGUAAAUCCUUAAGAAAUAAAUGAGAUAAUGGGAAUGAGUAUUUGGGUUGAUUGUUUGAUAAUUGAAUAUAAUAAAUGUAUUAUUGUGGGUUGAAAACCCUAUAUGCUCACCAGGCUCUCAAGCCUGACCCACUCAGUUUUCUUUGCAUUAUAGGUAAUGGCACAAGAGUAUAAAUUGGUGGACUUGACGAGAGAUUUUGGAUUAUAGAUCAGUAGUUACAAAUAACUAUUGUAAGGUCUAUUUUAUAUUGUUUAUGCUUUUGGUCUUUCAGAGCAUGACAUCCCGAGGUUUUAUUAUUUAAUGGAAAUAUGUUCUCUUUGAGAAACGUUUUGAUAAAUUUUAUCAUAUUUUGUUUUGGGAACAAAUUCCGCAACUCUUUUAAAUCAAAAGAAUUUACUAUGAUUUUGUAAAAUAAAGCAUAAACAAAUCGGUCUUUUCUGGCUGUGAAAUUGGUGAUGUCACAGUUGGUAUCAGAGCAUUAGUUUAAGCGAACUAGGAAUUUGUAGGAUUUCUACACUUAAACUUAGAAUGCUAAGCGAUGAUUGUGAGCUGAGUUUCUACCAUAUUUUAAGACACGAGCACUAGUAUAUUUUAGGAAUGAUGCCUUAAAAUGCUUUUAUGUGCUAAAUGUUAUAUGUUUUCCAUAUAUGCUAUUAUUUGUUCGGAUCUAUGGUCUGUUGCCGAACGGAUCUGGAGACCUUAUGUGUUUAGGAUUCUAAGCGUUUGAUACGAUAUUAGAACUAGCAUGUAAACAUUUCGGAGCGAUUAGGAGAGUCAUACUUUUAUCGUAAAUAAAGCUUUCUUAUCUUAAAUUCUCGCUCAGUACACUGAACGUCUGCUUGGGUAUACAAGAGGUCAUGGUGAAGACUAGUAGAGAAUUGAGUAAAUGGAGGAAAUGAAAAGGCUUAUGAUAGUGAAUGACACCUAUCGGAAGAUAUCGUAAGAGUGGUGUCUUGCAUUUAGUUUAUGUUUGAUAAAAUAACGGAACGUUUAGAGGAGUACAGUACGUCUGGAGUACACCUUCGAUUGGAAGAAUGAUGGAACGAUUGGUGUAAUUCUUGAAGUUGUCCCAUAAUCUAGAAUUUCCAUCACCAAUCGAUUCGAAGUAUAUUUGAUGAUAGAAGAUACGCAUGGAAGAAGUCCUAGCAGAGUCUAGGAAAAAUUUUAUGAUUAUUUGGACACAUUCGUAUGUGUUAAAUUGCUUUGUGAUUUUAGGACUUAGGGACUGAGAGACAAUACAUGGGACGAGUAUGAGUAGGUGUGAAUAGUAGUAGAGAUCUAUACUACUGGAAGCACAUGACUCACGCUUGGAUCAUGGGAAGUCGCAAGGUUACCAAGAAGCUUGUAAUUGAGUUCGUUUUUAUUCAAGUAUGUCGUUACCAUUGUUUCGGUAAUGACUAAAAAGAUGACUGAUAUUCUGACCCUAGGGGUCAUAUCAAAUUGAGUCCGACUACGAUGAGAGGUCAUCAGGACACGACCCAUCGGUCUCUUACAAUAGAUAAAGGAAUGUAUUUAUCCUAAGAAGAAGAAGGAGUUCACAAUAAGGAUUUAUUUUAUAACUUGAAGGUUACGAUUGAAAGUCCAUCAUAGUAAGAAUAGUAGAUGAAGGACUGAGCAUCAUAAUUAUUACUUAGGAUGGAGAGAUAACGCAUGGAGUCAGUAUACGAAUCCUGUUUCGUUGAUGAUUCCGGGACGUAAUCAUCCUAAGGGGGAGAUAAUUGUAAUGCCCGUAGAUUAGGGCUAGUCAACUUAGAGACGAUAAGAGUCAAAAAAUGAAUUUUUGAUGGAAGAUUAUUUAUAAGGAUUAACCAUCUACAUCCAGAAAUCCAUAUGCUUUGGAAGAAGCUUGUACAGUUUGGGAAGGGGUUUUGAUUGAUAAAAAAGAAGAAUCUACUUCAACCGACAUGCCCUUAGGCACGGCCAUACAUAACAUAGAAAUCACACUUGGAAAGGGUGGACAAUUAGCUAGAGCAGCGGGUGCUGUAGCGAAACUGAUUGCAAAAGAAGGGAAAUCGGCCACAUUAAAAUUACCUUCUGUAGAGGUCCUCCACCUUAACCAAGUUGUAGUGUAUGUCACAAGGUUUCCGUGCAUAUAAAGAACGCCAAAAUCCGAGUUACAACGAAGAAGUUAUGACCUGUCGAGGUUUCACAACUGAACCGGCACAACCCAGCGCAACGUAAAUAGUGAAAUUAAGGUAUAUAGAUAUCUAUCCUUAGUGAUCUAAACAAGAGUCGAAGAUGUCUUCGAUAGUAGUCCAACGAUAAAAAGACAGACGAAAACGGAGUUCAGAUGAAGGAGUUAUGAAUUUCAAAUGGAGUUUUCCUGUCCCGGCCUACUAAAGAUAAUAUAUAAGUAAUAUAUAAGAUAAUAUAUUAAAAAUAAAGUCAAAAUUAGCCAAUGGAGUCUAAACGAGAGUUGUAGAGCAUAAUCUCACCUUCGCGUCGUUGUAAAGAACGUCGAAAACGGAGUUCGUAUGCGAAAGUUAUAAUUUUCUGAAGUGCGCGAAACCNNNNNNNNNNNNNNNNNNNNNNNNNNNNNNNNNNNNNNNNNNNNNNNNNNNNNNNNNNNNNNAGUCUUCUGACACCUCUGGGAGUCCCCCAGAUGCAACUUGCGAUGAAGCAUGCAGUGACGAGCAAGCCCACGACGUGGAAAAAGGUGCCACGACGUGGCAAGGGCCAGUUUUGCCCUAUAAAUAGAUUUGAAGGGCCAAACGAGUUUGGUUGCUCAUUCUAUCAUCUCUCACCUGUAUUGCAUCGAUUUACAUGCAAAGAAGUACCCCCAAAGCCCCGGUAUCAACCCCGAGACCCGAAGCAAGUCCCCAAGCCCGAAGAUCCCGAGAAGAACAGAGUUUCUGAGCCGAAGCUCUGCCCGCGAGAAGCCCAGUGUGCGAAGUGAUCCCGGUUUCACCGAAGAAUACUACUCUUAGAGCUGUAGUGCUGUCCGAGCAUCGUCUAACCAAGUGAGUGUAUAGCCCCUUACAUAAACACGAUAGUAAAUAGAAGUAUUGUAUGAAUGUAUUAAGUUUAUUGUUGUUUAUAUAAGUGAGUGUGUGGUUACUUUCUUCUAACGCAUAAAUACGAAGUAUUUUAUACGAAAUACGUGUUAUGUGUAUAUUCUGUUGUUAUAUGUGUGAAUGUAUAUUCACUUUCUUCUACCGCAUAGAUAUGAAGUAUUUGCUAUGAAGUACGUGCUAGGUGUUUAUACAUUGUUUGUUUACUUGAGAUAGAUGUUGAAAUAAUGUUUUAUACAUGUUUUAAAAGAUUUAAACUGUAUAUGUGUUUGCAUCUACAAAUAUGUUGGGUAGAACAUGGGUAGAUGAAAUAGUUGAUGUGAGACGAAAUAAUAAGUAUUUUUGAACUCAAUGUGUUCAUUAGGUAUUUUUGAACUCUAUGUGUUCACUUGGUGUUUGAACUCAAUGUGUUCAUUAGGUAUUUUUGAACUCUCCGUGUUCACUUGGUGUUUGAACUCAAUGUGUUCAUUAGGUAUUUUUGAACUCUAUGUGUUCACUUGGUGUUUGAACUCAAUGUAUUCAUUAGGUAUUUCCGAACUCUAUGUGUUCACCUGGUAUUUUUUGACUCGAUGUGUUCAUUAAGUAUUUUUGAACUAGAUGUGUUCACUUGGUGUUGUUGAACUGAGUGUGUUCACUAAGUGUUUUAGAACUAAGUAUUCACCAGAUGUUUUGAAUUAAUUGUUCACUAGGAGUGUUAGAACUAGGUGUUUGUUAAGUAUGUUGAACUAAGUGUUUACCAGUCGUAAUUUGUGGACCUUGGCAGUGGUGGACUUUGUGUCAAUUCCUUAUGUCAAUCCUUAGGAAUAAAUGGAUAAAGGAUAGUUGAUUCUUAGGGUAAAUCCUUAAGAAAUAAAUGAGAUAAUGGGAAUGAGUAUUUGGGUUGAUUGUUGAUAAUUGAAUAUCAUAAAUGUAUUAUUGUGGGUUGAAAAUCCUAUAUGCUCACCAGGCUCCCAAGCCUGACCCACUCAGUUUUUUUUGCAUUACAGGUAAUGGCAUAAGAGUAUAAAUUGGUGGACUUGACGAGAGAUUUUGGAUUAUAAAUCAGUAGUUACAAAUAACUAUUGUAAGGUCUAUUUUAUAUUGUUUAUGCUUUUGGUCUGUAUCAGAACAUGACAUCCCGAGGUUUUAUUAUUU